rnacentral:lncRNA from 1 species
AACAAUGUUAUUCAAUAUAUAAACAUUGUUACAUACAAUCAUUAAAAUAAAGAAAAAUGAACUUGAACAGAAACAUAGAACAUUUCAAGUUUUAUUUAAUUUAUUUAGCGCAAAUUUGUGUUUUUCUGUUUUAAUUUUUUUAAUUCAUUAUUUUAAAUCACAUUUAUUAUUUCAUGAAUAACUAAAUUUUAGAAGAAUCUAUUUUUUCUUUAUCAUUUGUAUUAUAUAUAAUAUUUCGUAUUUAUUAUUUUUAUCAAUAAACAAACUUCAAAUUAAUACAUGUACUAGUAGAAUAUGUACCCGUUACAGAAUUACAAAAGUUAUAUAAUAGAUACACCAUGAAUCGCUCCCUACUGACAUGUAUGGAGUUGUUCACAAUAUAGUUAUUACAACAACAUAAAAACAAGCACACUAGUUAAGCUAUACUUACUAAUUAAAGUAAUGUACCCGAACAUGUAUCAAUUCCAUUUUUUCAUCUAGUCUUUAGUUUUCCUCCAAAUCAUUCUAUGCUCUAUUUUUUGUAUUGUAUUGACACUAUAUUUGUGUUUGAUAUUGCACUCAUCUUUUACACCAAAAGUUGUAUUUUGAUAUUUUGUGUUUGAUUUGUUUUCAACUUCUUUUACCUCUUCAAUUUUACUUGAAUGUAC